CCCCGGAUCUCAACAACACUGCACGUCUUUCGUGCGACCUCAACAGGUCCACGGACUUUUUGGGGGAAUCUCAACAGAAACACAGCUUUUUCACAGACCACGGCGGGUCUACAAAUGCACAGUAGUCAAGGAAAUCACCCGCGAUGUCUACCCUCCGAUCGCCACCCCUGGCGGACGCCGACACCGAGUCUACGCCUGCCCCGCGUCCUCCACCAACCUGUCGGGAUUCAAAUCAGUGUAGAACGGUGCGAACAAACCACGGAGGCCCCAGAAACAUGCAAUCAAACUGAGUGCAGAGGAUGUUGGAGACACUGAACUCAGUAUAGAAAUAUUCAAUCCAACUUCGACUCUUCAGUGUUUUUGAGUCCAGUCCUGAAACGUGAUCUUCUUCCAUCUGAUCGAUGCCUCGGAUUCUUCAUGUGUGUUCAUGCUGGAAAUAUUUCUGAUUAUUCACGCCGAGUGGAAACAUUUGGCUCCUUUCAUGUUGGACUUUGUUUAAAUUCUCCAUAUUCUGUUCUUCCAUAUUAAAUCAUCUCCUGCUUUAUGCACUUUUUUGUCAAUUCUCAAUAAAAAUUCUGCUUCAUUCAGUCA